GCUAGAGUCGGAGUCGUAACGCUCCACUGACUGAUAGAGCGACCGGCCGACCAUGGCGCCCGGAGUGGCCCGCGGGCCGACGCCGUACUGGAGGUUGCGCCUCGGUGGCGCCGCGCUGCUCCUGCUGCUCAUCCCGGUGGCCGCCGCGCAGGAGCCUCCCGGAGCUGCGGGAUUCCUGAACACUCAUUCCACAUGUCUUGAAGAAGGCUUGUUAUCAGCAGGGGCUCAGGAAGAGGACCUUCAUUUGCUUGUUCUCAGAACACAAACAAAACCUGUGAAGAGUGCCUGAAGAACGUCUCCUGUCUUUGGUGCAACGCUAACAAGGCUUGUCUGGACUACCCCGUUACAAGCGUCUUGCCACCGGCUUCCCUUUGUAAAUUGAGCUCUGCACGCUGGGG
rnacentral:sRNA from 1 species